rnacentral:lncRNA from 1 species
ACACACACUCCAUUUGUCUCUCUUCCCUGUCUUUCAUAUGGUCACUGUUUAGGACAUUUACCACUCUCCCUUCUCCAUAUCUCUACCUGUGCCCAAGUCUCCAGCUUCAUCUCCAGUCUGUUUGCAUUCUGCUUGCCCCUCAAGUUCAACCUGUUCCCUGUCCUCCUAGUCUCUAACAGAUACACUCUUUGCUACUGGUCUGUGUAUUGUCAUUCCUUGUACACUCACAAAUUCCUUUCCUUCCACAGACACUUCAUGAUGGUUUCCAUCACUACCACUGACAUAAGCAGAUCUCACAAAGGCUCCUUUUGACCUCCCAAGACCUAUAUUUUGCCAACAACCUCUCAGACUGGAAGGCCUUUUUCUGACCUUUGCCAAGCCCUAUCUUUCUUCUCUAGGCAAUAUGUCUUUCACCCACAGGGCAGUUAUACUUCCUAGGAUUUUUCAGGCCAUAGGUUUUGUAACUUCUUGUUUCUCGAGAGUGAGUUUGUUCCAUCUCCAAGUGUUUACUUUCAGUGAUAUGUCAAUGUCAAGCUUCUCUGCAGUCGGUGUUUCUCUUGCCCACACAUUGCUUUUCCCUUGGCCUUGGCUUGUUUGUAUUCACACAUCCUGUGGCCAGGAUGU